rnacentral:misc_RNA from 1 species
CAAGUACAAUAAUUUAAUAUGGCGGAAACGGUACGUUGAUACAGUUCGUGGUGUUAUUGCGUGAUAAUUCGGUUAGUAAAAAUAAUACAUAAUAUCAUUAUAAAUAUUUAAAACUACAAUCGUACGGUAGUGACCGAUAAAGUGUUAUCAUGGGUUCUAACAAACGGCACAAAACCGAAAAAUCUCGCGAUGCUAAGAAGAAGCGUCAUCGCAGUCGUUCCCGAAGUUAUACACCUGAUCGUGAGAAAUCUGAGAAGCAUAGACAUCACAAAAAGCACAGGAGGAAAGAGCGCAAGGAUUAUGACAGCGAUGUUGAGAUUGUUAAUGCUCCACCACCACCAAAAAUAUCAAAAUCAUCACACCCAUCGACGCCUCCACCACCAGAAAUUUCCAAACAACGCAGCCCAUCUCCUGCUAAAGGUGGAGCAUCACAAGCUUCAUUAUCCAUUGAGGAAACCAAUAAGCUUCGUGCAAAAUUAGGAUUAAAGCCGUUAGAGAUUGAUAAUACACCAAAAGAAGAUCCAAAUAAAAUCAAAGAUGAUUUGGGAGAGUUUUACCAUAAACCUGCACCAAAUAACAGUGAUAAAGUAAAGGCACAGAAGCUAAGAGAAAAGAUAGGUACUCAAAAGGAGAAACGACAAAUUGAGUCAAAUUUAUCAAAGAUGAAGAGUUUGGGUGAAUGUGAUUCUGAUGACGAUACUCAAUCAUGGAUCAACAAAUCUAGACACUUGGAAGAAGAGAAAAAGAAAGCAGAGAAGAGAGCAAAGAUGUUAGAUCAGUUGGAUGAAGAAUUUGGAAUUGGUAAUUUGGUCAAGGAAGAAAUACAUACUGCUCGUAAUACUGCUUAUACAGAGAAGGAUUUGAAAGGCCUUAAAGUUGAACACAAUAUUGAAACGUUUGAGGAAGGUAAAACUGUAAUCUUAACAUUGAAAGAUCAAGAAGUAUUAAAUGAAAAUAAUGCUGAUUUACUCGUGAAUAUGAAUAUGAUUGAUAAUGAGCGUUACAAACGUAGUGUUUUGAAUAAGACUAAGAAACCUACUUACGAUCCAUAUGCUGAUGAAAAUUUUGAUGAAUAUGGAUUUUCCAAAAAUAAAAUUUUGGGAAAGUAUGAUGAGGAAAUUGAGGGUGAAAAAAGGGACAAUUUUGUAUUGGGUGUUAAUAAUCCAGUAGAAUUGAAACGACGUCAAGUAGAAACAGUGAAACAGCGCUUAGCAAAUAAAAAACUAGAAUCGCUACAGAUUGCAGAACCAAAACUAGCAAGUGAAUAUUACAACGAAGAAGAACUUGCAAAGUUUAAAAAACCAAAGAAGAAGAUUCGAAAAAUUAGAACGAAAAAAGUACUCAAGGCCGAUGAUUUAGUUCCUGUCGAAAAUGAUUAUCUUAGAGAUCUUGGAAGUAGGAGAAGGAAAAAACCAGAAGACUCGAAGGAUAAUGAGUCUUUAGAUAUCGACGAUUUGGAGGCUCCUGCAGAAGAUCUUACUGGAAUAAAGCUUGAAGAAGAUGAUAAAGAAUUGGAGCUACAGUUGGCUUUAAAGAAAGCUCAGCGAUUGAAAGAAGGAUAUCCAGCUGGAAUUCAGAAAACUGUUGAAACAAUAAAGCAAGAAACUCUUAGCUCAGAGGAGAACCAAGCUGGAAACAUUGUUCUUAAUUCUACUGCAGAAUUUUGUAGAACUUUAGGUGAUAUACCCACAUACGGACUUGCAGGAAAUAGAGAGGAAAAUGGACAAGAACUUAUGGAUUUCGAAUUGGAUGAAAUUAAAGAUGAGCCACCUGCAAAUGAGGAUGAGGAUAAUGGUCGUGGUGCUUGGAACACUGUGCAUUUAGAUGAGAACACUUCAGAACCAGUCGUAAUGGAGGCGGCAAUUCUCGAUGCUGAGCCGUCUCUCGGACAAGGGGUAAGUGGAGCUUUGAAAUUAGCAAUGAGCAAAGGUUACUUGCAAAAGGAGGAUAGUAAUCGACCUUCAGCGUCACGAUUUGCACAUUUGCAAGCUCAGAAUUACUCGAUAGAAGAUAAAACAUACGGUUAACAGUCUUAAAUAGAGCCCGGAAAUCGGUGCUCGGAACGGGUCCGCUACCACUACGAGUUUACUGCUUAAUCGGAGGCGAACAGCAGGCCGAGAAGAGAGUAGGAUUUGUUAAGAGAUGAUGACAAAUUCGGCAGAAGAGAUCGCUUUAAUGGACCGACAUCUGAUUUCAAGGAGAAGGAUGGUUUCAAACCAAACGUUAA